rnacentral:rRNA from 1 species
UACGUAGGGGGCGAGCGUUGCUCGGAUUGACUGGGCGUAAAGCGCGCGUAGGCGGUCCAUUAAGUGUGCGGUGAAAUUCAGAGGCUCAACCUCUGUCCCGCCGCGCAAACUGGUGGUCUUGAGAUUGGGAGGGGGAUGCGGAAUUCCUGGUGUAGCGGUGAAAUGCAUUGAUAUCAGGAGGAACACCGGCGGCGAAAGCGGCAUCCUGGCUUAUAUCUGACGCUGAGGCGCGAAAGCGUGGGUAGCAAACGGG